rnacentral:lncRNA from 1 species
AAGGUGCAAGACAGCACAUGUUAGCAUCAUGGUCAGACGAAACAGCCAGUUUCCCACUAGGAGAACUAGCGAGCGCGAUGCAUCAGGCAGAGGCUCUCGUUGUUCUCAGCCAGAAAUGGGAAACAAUGGAACAGCAAUAAUCAAAGCAGACACUUAUCGGAUACACCUAUGAAACAAAAGAGGAGGACCCUCCGAUCCCUCUCUUCCUCAGCAGCCCCCUCAGGUUCUCUCUCACCGGAGCGCGGCAGAAGGGAAGAGGGACCCUGAUCUCCCUCUAAGGACACGCAUCUACACAUUUAUACGCACACCCAGGAAUAACCCUCUGGGAACUGUCACACAAAAGGAAGCGGGAGCCUGCUGCUGCAGAGCUGGAUCCCUCUCUUCCCGCAUAACAUUGUCCCGGGUGAUCAUAAAUCUGUCACCCCCACAGCGAGGCUGGAUUCCGCCAGAUCUCCCUGCUUGUUGUGUCUGGCUACCCGGCUCCGCGCCUGCAUGGAGCCUGACUUGGGGGCGGGGGGCGGGGAGGGGGGCGCACCGCUAAGGCCGUCGGAACGAGGAUCCGACCGAGCAUCUCGGCGAGCCCCGCCGCCGUUCAGCAGUAGAAUCGGCGCGCUUCGUUCUUCCGGGGCUUGCAUGCGGCAAACAGCCUCGGAUGGUGCAGAUGGACCACACUGCCUGGAGACAGGCAGUCAAGUUGUGUAUCCAGAGUGGUGACCAGAGGGGAAAAGGCCGCUUGGAGGAGCACAGAGAGAAGAAACACCAUGGUGCAUCUGCAGCAGCACAACUGGAUGCCUUCAUCUGCCCUAGAUGCAACAAAACAUGUCUCUCCCAUAUCAGUCUCUAUAGCCACAGCAGGCGCUGAAACCUUCCAACAGUUUGACUUCAUCCCCAAAGGCACACUCCUCCAUUGUCUUUCCUCAACCUUUGACUCACUCUCCUUUGCUUGAGCUUUGUUUUUGGUUUUUUUAAUUGUAACAUGCAUUAAUUUUGAUUAAAUGUCAUUGUUUUCAACAACAUAGCAAGCAAAGCACACCAGCCUAAUGAUAAGAUAUAUACACCCAAUAAGUGAAAACUAGGGUGAUGAAAACAGAAGGAAUGUGUUUUUUAUUUUAAAAAAGAUUCUAACAUUUUAGUCUUGUUGUUCCAGCAGGUAGGACCCAAGCAAACCAGUUCAGAUUGCAAGAAGGGAGAUCUUUUGACUGAACAUUUGAAGAUCCUACUGAUAGUACAAGCUGUUCAACAGUAGAACAGAUUGUCUUGCAAGUUGGUGAACUCUCCAUCAUCACUGAGGCUCUUAAGCAGAGGCUGCAUGGCCAAACUAUCAGUGAUUUCCUCCGUUGACUAGAUGACCUUGGAUGUCUCCCCCAACUCUACUAUUCUAUCAAUCAGCUCAUUCUCUUUGUCCCAUAAGACAGGCAGAAUUCCUCCAACCGGAAAGAGUCUUUUCACUGAGGGAAGCACUCCUCACAUCAGAGGAAGGGAACA